rnacentral:rRNA from 1 species
AUUGAACGCUGGCGGCAGGCCUAACACAUGCAAGUCGAACGGUAACAGGAAGAAGCUUGCUUCUUUGCUGACGAGUGGCGGACGGGUGAGUAAUGUCUGGGAAACUGCCUGAUGGAGGGGGAUAACUACUGGAAACGGUAGCUAAUACCGCAUAACGUCGCAAGACCAAAGAGGGGGACCUUCGGGCCUCUUGCCAUCGGAUGUGCCCAGAUGGGAUUAGCUAGUAGGUGGGGUAACGGCUCACCUAGGCGACGAUCCCUAGCUGGUCUGAGAGGAUGACCAGCCACACUGGAACUGAGACACGGUCCAGACUCCGACGGGAGGCAGCAGUGGGGAAUAUUGCACAAUGGGCGCAAGCCUGAUGCAGCCAUGCCGCGUGUAUGAAGAAGGCCUUCGGGUUGUAAAGUACUUUCAGCGGGGAGGAAGGGAGUAAAGUUAAUACCUUUGCUCAUUGACGUUACCCGCAGAAGAAGCACCGGCUAACUCCGUG